AGAAGAACCCCGCAGCUCCCGAUUCUCUGCUGCCAAAACACAAAUUCAAUACCAAAGGAAAAACAACAUCAUUCUAAAGGGAUUUAGAGGAAAUUCUCCCUAACUCGAGCAAAAAAAUUCUAUCAUCACUUACCAAAACGCACAAGAACACCGAAAACUGAAAUAUUGAGAUUGAAUAAUGAAAUUGUGACAGAAAGUAGAGAGCAAGGGAAAAGAAUUUGUCAAUUGAUAGAAAAAUACAGAGAAAGGGAAAACUCAUAUCUGAUUUCUUGAGAAGAGAGAAAAGAGAAAAAAAAUUAAAGAAAA
rnacentral:lncRNA from 1 species